CACGUAGGCUAUAGUGUAAGUCAGGGGUGAAAUCCCACGGCUCAACCGUGGAACUGCCUUUGAUACUGCACAACUUGAAUCCGGGAGAGGGUGGCGGAAUUCCAGGUGUAGGAGUGAAAUCCGUAGAUAUCUGGAGGAACAUCAGUGGCGAAGGCGGCCACCUGGACCGGUAUUGACGCUGAGGUGCGAAAGCGUGGGGAGCAAACA
rnacentral:rRNA from 1 species